rnacentral:rRNA from 1 species
GUCCAUAGCCAUGCUACCCUGAACAAGCCUGAUCCCGUCUGAUCUUAGAAGCUAAGCAGAAUGGGGCCUGGUUAGUACUUGGAUGGGAGAUCACCUAGGGAAGACCAGUUGUUGUAGUCA